rnacentral:rRNA from 1 species
UACGUAGGCAGCGAGCGUUGUUCGGAAUUACUGGGCGUAAAGGGUGUGUAGGCGGUCCUCUAAGUUUGGUGUGAAAUCUCCCGGCUUAACCGGGAGGGUGCGCCGAAAACUGGAGGGCUAGAGUGCGGGAUGGGAGAGUAGAAUUCCUGGUGUAGCGGUGAAAUGCGUAGAUAUCUGGAGGAACACCGGUGGCGAAGGCGGCAUUCUGGACCAUAACUGACACUGAGAGACGAAAGCCAGGGGAGCAAACGGG